rnacentral:lncRNA from 1 species
UCCUCAAUAUUUUUAAACACGUGGCAGUCUUACAUUGGUCCAGAUUAGCCCACCCAGUCAAUUGUUUAAACCCGCCCGACCCAAAUUUAUAACCCGCCCGACAGAACAUAACCUACAGGGUGGUUAGAAUCCCUCUGUCACGCACCCCAAUAAACCCUUCUCUCCCUAUCCUUCCUUCCGAUCUUAGCGCAGCCGGCAAAUCCGUCUUAUCUCCUCUUAAUCUCUUCCCCCAAAGCCCUCGAUUGGAAACUGAGUGAUGUGUCUUUCGAACGGGAAGCUUAUGGUCUCUAAUCGCCAACCUUCGUCGUGCGAAUCUAGGGUUUCAUCGUUGGUUUGCUUUUCUCUGUUAACUCGUAAUUCCAAAUAAGCAAGGUCCCCUCUACUUUUCCAUCAUUUUUCCUAUGUAUUGAUCAUGUAUUCAUUUGGAUCUACGGUUUCAUCGUGGUUUAUUUUUCUCUGUCAAUAUAGUUGUUGCCUUUGGAUAUGUGUUUUUGCUGCUUUCUUUUAUAUAUAAAAAAUGUUUGUACUGAUCUAACAUAAAUUUUAAUUUAUUUCUGAAACUUGGUUAAUUAAAGCAGGAGUUGUGCGUGAAGUAGAGCUUUUUGUGGCAGUCUAUUGCUAAAUCCUAUAAACCACUCUGUAGGUUAUGUUCUG